rnacentral:lncRNA from 1 species
UUCACUUUUGGAGAGUGCUAUUGUUUGGGUAGGAUUUUUUAAGCUUAAUUCACAAAGACAUUUUUUAAAUAUUAAAAUUCAUGCCCUUUGAUUGAUCAAGGAGGAGGCAGGAUAAUGUAUUUUUUUCCCCUCGUACCAGAGUUUAAUACAGGCUAUAUCUCCUUUGGCAAAUCACCUAUCCCGAUAAAAAACAAAACUGUUUUUAAAUCUCAGCUCUGUAAUCCUUAGAGCUUAAAGAUAAAGGAAAAAAAAUGACCUUCUUUUUGUCCAUUAGUCAAUUACAGGAAGCAUUAUUCUUUCCAUAUUACCACGUUAUGAAUCUGAUUUCAAAGUAAGUAUUCUAAUGAAAAGAGAAGCACUUAACUUUUUAAAAAAAUUCCAACUGACUCUGCAAAUGAAAUUUUUAAACCAAGGUACCAGGAGAGGAAAAAGACCUUAUGUUCUAAAGCCACCAUCAUAUGAAAUAAAUUAUUCUGUCUUUUAUGUAUCCGAAUGGUAGUAGUUAUAUGCCAUCCUUGGGAGAACUGAAGAAAUGGUCACUCAAGUCAUUCUGUAUGUUUUGUGUUUCUGAGGAGCCCUCACUGAGAAAGGCUGGCAGAGUCAGAAAAAAAAAAUUCGUGUUCUUUAAACAGGGUAUAGUCGGGGUUUUUUUUUUUGUGAUUGGGGCUUUUUAAAAAGAGAGGUACUCUGGAAAAGGAGACAGAACAUAUUUAAGUCCUACUUUUAGCAUGUGAAGGAGCUAGAUUCUACAUUUUCUUAAAUACUCUGAUGAGUUAAAUGGAACUAACACUCAAAUGCCACCAAAUCCCCCCACCACUGAUAGUUAACAAUGACAGCAUCUCCGACUGCUUCUUGCAUCUUUGCUAUCUGCCUGACUCCAUUCUGAGUGCUUUGCAUCAAUUCUCCUGUAAUUCUCUUUAAUAUGAGAUAAGUAUCCCCAGAUUUACAGAUGAAUAAAACUGAGACUCAGCUCACACAGCAGGCCCAAGAUUGUCCAGUUAAAUAAGGAGCACAAGCAGGAUGGAAGCCAGGCCAGUUCAACUCAAAGGGCCUCACUUAACACCAAGGCCUACUCUGAAGGGUGCAAGACUUCAGGCUUGUAUCCUCAGGUGGGCUGUAAAAUAAGAGGCCUGGACUACACUAGCUCUAAAUUUGUUACCCAGUAUGCUACAGUUAAUUUACCAAGAUACAUAGUGCAAAAACAAGGAAAAAGAUUAACGUCACUUUUUACUAUGAUUUUGUAUAAAAUAAUUGGAAUUUAAAAUAGGGCACAAAACAUUAUCUUUAUGAAACACUUGUUUCUGAAUGAAAUGGAGGAUGGUUUUAGCACCCUAAUACUCAGUUUCAAAACUGUAACAAUAAAGUUACACAAGAUGAUAUAAAUUCUAACCCCUGUAGAAAUGUUGGACUGAUUAUCCAAUUUCAGGAGUUACAGUGUGGCUUUAUGUUUGUUUUCUUUAGUGCUUUGCCAUGGUUUUUAUAUAAUAAAUGAAAAACACAAACAAAAAACACAAAACUGAGUUGUGGAGAAUGAUGACUUCGAUGGAACCAUAAAAUCUCCCCUACACUAAAAAGAAAAGAACACACAGCCACUUUACAUCUGCAAUCCACCUUCCUCAGACCUUUAUCAAUUGCCAUCAGGAGUCUUUGUAAGUAGUGAAGAGUGGUGGAUCAGGAUCUCAUCAGAGGCAGGCACCAAUCUGACUUAAUUCAGGGACUUGGUUAGGUAGGUGACAGAAAAGCUGGGAAGCCAGACCACUGUGAGAACCACAGGCAGCCUCUCCACGGCCUUGGGCAGAAGAAUAAAGAGAGGAGAGAAUGUUGUUGGAGCUCAGGGCCACCCACAGUGGGUGGGGCAUAGGUGAGACGCAGCAGCUCACAGAGGUCUCUAGAGCUGAGGAGACAAGGCUGAGAGUCUGGGAAGCGGGACAGAGUACCCACGUGGAGAAAGCUACAGAGAGAGAGGACUGUAGAGAUCUGUAGCUUCCCUAGAGUCUUCAGCUGAGUACUGACCAGCACAUGUACAUAAGUAAACUACAAGAGGCCAGAGAGAGGACUAGAGGGAACCAUCUCCAAAUCUUACACAAACAUGCUGCAUGAGCUGGAAAGAGAAAUAUAAAUGCCCUGCUUUCCCCCCAACCCCCGCCCCUCCUCCUUUCCUGUAAUCCUCCCCUUACCUAUGCCUCCCAUUAGCCUGGUGGUUCUCAACCUUGGCUGCACAAACUAGAAUCAACUAGGAAGCUGUAAAAACGUUGAAUGCCUCGGUACACCCCUAGAAAGACUGAUGUAAUUGGUCUGGGUGCAACCUGGGCAUUAGGAGCUUUAAAAGCUCUCUUGGUGAGUUGAGAACCAAUACAUUAGCCGAACCCAAGUAGAAGACACGAGAACAGACCCUGGAAAACAUAGCCUACAGAAAUCAGCACCCUUUCAUACGGGGCAAGGAGAGGAUCUGAGAGCCUGUGGGCCUAAGAUCAGCAAAGAUGGCACAAAGAGAUGGGUAGAAAUAAGAUGAUGAGAAGAAGGAGAAAAAAAAGUAGGCAUGAUCUUCCUUAAACCCUUCAGUGGCCAGCUCACAUUGAACACCCGGCUGCAGAGUUUCUUCCCUCUUAUAAUACUUACUGCUAUUCCUCCAGUGACCAGACUAUCAUGUGCCACCUCCCAUGUGUCCUUGGCUGUGCUGAAGCCCAGCAUCUUGCUAUCUGUUCUGGUUCAUCCUGCAGCAUCCCAUCAGGAAACCCUGGUGUUCCUCCUCUUACUAGCUGCAUCAGAUGAAGAAUUUGUGAAUCUCCACAAAUAUAUGGUAGUGCCAACUCCUAAAAACAAACUUCCAACAGGACAACCACAAAGUACUGAAAUAAUAUACAUGCAUGCAUAAAGGCCAUGGGCAGAUCUACUUCUGUGAUCCUACAAGCAACACAUCAAGGCUCAUAAUUCAGAGAUCAUUUCUCUUCACCAACUACUUAAUGAAUGGUAUUCUUCCAGUGGAAAGUUUAAAUCCCCAAAUCACAACCAAUACCACCUGACUGAGCUCCCAAAAUUAUCACUAAAAGGAACAGAUCCAUUCUACCUAAGUAUGUGGACAUAUUCUCAUUUUAGCUAUCAGACUCUUUUAAAAGCACUUGAAAUAAUUAAUACAUUUUAAUGGACAGAAUGAAAAUUCAAAACAGGUAAAUGACCACAUACUGAUGGAAUUCCCACAGACUCUUGGGAGCAAUAUGACCAUAACAGCCAUCUUCUUCCAUCACAUUAUUAAACAAGAAAUGGAAGAUGCUUUUUGUCCGUAAAAACCAGAAAAUUAAGGUUAAGUGAAUUUUGAAAUGAUGAGUAACUAAUACUACACAGGAAAGAAACACACAAGUCUAAGCUUACCAAAGGAGUAGUAAACCCACUAGGAUUUUAUCAUGAAAAUGCUGCAUAUGUCUCAGACAAAAGGCAAAGGUAGAAGAGAACCAUCUUUUCUUAGCAUGUGGAAAUAACCUAACAAUUCCUUUGAAAAUAGAACCUAUCUAUACACAUGCAACAAAUCUGCACGUUGUGCACGUGUACCCUAAAACUUAAAGUAUAAUAAAAAAAUAAACAAAUAAAACGUGAAAAAAAAGAAAAUAGAACCUAAACACAUACUCUGUACUGAGUCAGUGUUCAACUCAUGCUAUUGACUUAUUAAAUAAUGAUGUCUAAGAACUCCACGCAUUGGUAAGACCUAACUGGGUACCUUUCUGGGAAUGAAUAACAGUGAUUUUAAAGACAUUAUUAACUGCAGUGAGAUUUGCUCAUCUGCCCAAGCUGAAGGGAGGCAUCUGAUUCAUCUCGGUCAAUUUAAACAGCUCAGAUAAUCUAAACAUGGUGUGGACAAAAUUAAAGGGCAUUCCGAGUCCUUAAUAUUAUGUGGGCUCUCUUUCAGAAUGGUCUUACAAAAUGUGCCUCAGGGGUUCUGUGGGUCCAGGAAAUAUCCACACAGUCCCUGACUUUGGUGGUGACAACAAAGGGAUCGAAGAUCUGAGAAAGGGAAGGAACAGAACACCACCUCCCGAAGCAAAACCAAACCAACAAGAAAAAAUACUCACAAUUGCUUAAAGAAAUGGUUGAUAC